UUUCGCAAUGCCCGAAAGGGUGACGAAGCGACGCCGCGUGGGUGAGGAAGGCCUUCGGGUUGUAAAGCCCUGUCAGGAGUUAAGAAAUGUAAGUGCGCUAAUAUCGCAUUUAUUUGACGAAGGCUCCAAAGGAAGUCACGGCUAACUCUGUGCCAGCAGCCGCGGUAAUACAGAGGUGGCAAGCGUUGUCCGGAAUUAUUGGGCGUAAAGAGCACGUAGGUGGGUUUGUAAGUCAGAUGUGAAAGCCUUCUGUUCAACGGAAGAAUUGCAUCUGAAACUGCGAGUCUUGAGUGUAGGAGGGGAGAAUGGAACUUCUGGUGGAGCGGUGAAAUGCGUAGAUAUCAGAAGGAACGCCGGCGGCGAAAGCGAUUCUCUGGCCUAUUACUGACACUCAGUGUGCGAAAGCUAGGGGAGCAAACGGGAUUAGAUACCCCGGUAGUCCUAGCCGUAAACGAUGGGCACUAAGUAGAGGGGUUUU
rnacentral:rRNA from 1 species